GCUUUUACCCGUUACCUCAUUAUUUCCCACUUGUUAUUUCACCUGCUUGUUGAUUCCAGAGAGAGUUUACGGAGAUCACCAGAUCUCGAACGUGGGUCUGUGCUGAAGAGCUCUCUGGAUUAAAUUCUGUUACACGCACCAUACUGUCUGUAUGUUACUGCUGUGAGUGACGAUCCGGUGGAUUUUCUUCGCCCCAGUGUCAGUGAUGCUAUUGCUACUGAAACUGAAAAAAAAAACAGAAAUGAACAA